rnacentral:rRNA from 1 species
CAUCGCCCCCUGACCAAGUAUAGGAGGUCCAGCCUGCCCAGUGAUUUUUUCAACGGCCGCGGUAUUCUAACCGUGCAAAGGUAGCGUAAUCAUUUGUUCUUUAAUUGAGGACCUGUAUGAACGGCUUCACGAGGACUUAACUGUCUCCUUUUUCUAAUCAGUGAAACUGAUCUUCUCGUGAAGAAGCGAGAAUAAACAUAUUAGACGAAAAGACCCUAUGGAGCUUUAAAUAUGUAACAUGUGCACUAAAUUUUUGCAAGUUUCAGAACAUUAAAAUUAAUUAAGCACCAUUAAUUACUAACUUUAGGUUGGGGUGACCGCGGAGUAUAAUAUAACCUCCACACAGAAGUUAACCGUAAGCCACAACUUUACGUAUCAAUAAAUGACUGCCAU